CCAUUUGACACAAACCCGUAGAUCCGAUCUUGUGGCAAAUAUGACAGCACAAGUUCGCUUCUGCAGGUCUCUGUCA
rnacentral:pre_miRNA from 10 species